rnacentral:lncRNA from 1 species
AGGGAGCCCUGGCCAAGGAGAUGAUCCAACUCCCAGUACAAGAGUCUGGGAGGAAGAAAGUGGGCAGCCCUGGCUGAAGGAGCAGGCAGAACAGCAGGACUCCAGAGAGCCUGGAAGGCAGGCUGUGUGGGGGAGGAGACUACCUGCUGGCCACUCUGCCUUCCACUCAGACACCUGAAAUUUAACCUUGGAGAACCUCUUCCAAGCCUCCUCUGCAGGAUCAUCACCACGGAAAACAUGGAGCAGAACCAGUGGGAGCUGGAGAAAUGGCUGGAGAAGAGCCAGGGGCCUGGGGCUGGUCCCCAGCUGUGCAAUAUGUGUGAGAGCUGGCAGGAGACAGAGAGUAAAUGCAUCCACUGGAGCCCUGAGGGGAGAGCAAUUCCCAUCCAAUUGCACAGCUGGAGAAAUCGAGGCCCUGGCCCCAAGGGUGGCCUCUAG